rnacentral:lncRNA from 1 species
AUACUUCAAGGUACAGCACAAAAAAAAAAAAAAAGGACAGGACGACAGAGGAAGACGCAGACAGCGCUGAUAUAUGGGCCCCACAGGCUUCAGCGGCUCGCUCGGCCUGGUCCGGCCAAGGCAACCUAUUGGCUUCCCAUGGGUCCUGCAUGAUGGCGACAUGUAGCGCGUCGCAGCAAUAUGUCACCGCAACGCACCGGCCUUACUUCCCGGUCCAUGCCCAGCCCAAGGUCAACCAUUUAGAGCACGAGCCCAGCCCUGACUCGUGCCAUCAGAUCCGGCCGCACUUGCAUGACCAAGUCCGGCCUGGGUCCACCGAAGGCGCUACGUGCAACGCUAAUGUUUUCCGUGGUGAAAAACCUGGACAAGGGUACCCUUCCAGAUAGGGUAUACGUGAUGGGCCAUGUUUCCGACUGUGCGCCAACACAGACCUCGUCAAGCUAUAUGUACCACGUGACAUUCCGCCCGUAUUGUUGGGUGCCGAAGCUCGGGAGCCAAUACGCGGCCAGGAAUUCUAUCGCGAGCCGAGAUGUGCCAUUUACAUGCGCGAGUGUUGUCUGAAACAGCCGCUGCAAUUUCUGAAGUAAUAAAUAGAGCCAGCAGAAGAAGGAUGGAGGGCGGGAAAAGCAAACGUGUAAUGGCGCGGCAGCUCAGGGGCGCCUGCGCGGGACUGGUGUCCGCGGACUCGCCACCGCGCUCGGCGCAAAACAAUGCGUAAUUAGGGCGCAUUACGUUUGGGACUCAUAAUGAUGGUUCCGCGCUUUUGAACGCCAUUAAUCACGAACCAGGCCGGCAAGAGAUAGAACUCUGUCGGACGCGCCGUCCCGCCCUGCCCGCGGGAGCUGCCGGCGUCGUCUCGCUCCGCCAGCUCAACGAUAUACGCAGCUGUGCGUGCGCUUACUUGCGCGAAAGAAAGCACCGCGGGUCCGCAGUGUGCGUGCGCUGCGCCAAGUGCUGACGACGAACGUGGCGCUACGCCACUGACGUUCGCGCGCGCGGUGAGCGCGGCAGCGCGGCGGGCGCCCUUUGUGCGCGCGCCGGCAGCAAUAGCUGCCGUGAUGGCUGGAGUGAUGGUACGUGCGCGAGAUUUCCUUGCGAUAAGGACGUAAUGAGCUGGUAGAAGAGAGUAUACUACUGCUGAUGCUUCGGGUUGCGACUACAGCACCUGACAACGGGACGAGCUCUCCGUUGCAUGGCCAGCUCAUUACUCACUUCGGCGGCCUAUCAGUAGCGUCGAGCCUCCCCUUUUUACUGCGGUACUACGUGCGCGUUGCGAAAAUGAAGACAUCAUGUUGAGCCGUGGUGCGCGCAUGAAGGCACGUCCCGCCCUUCGUGCUCGUGACGCCGCGUGGUCUCGACGACCUGAUUGUCCCUCGUACUGUUUUGCGAGGAAACGCCCAGUGGACGGCGACAUUUUUCUUGCUCUUUUUGCGAAAUGCAUCGUCCAUGUUUAUUCCUCGCUGCACCUUGCCACCUUUUGUUUUUCCCGGUUUCACACACACUGUGGCCUGCAUGAGGACAGCGGCCUACGCGCGCAUGCACGUGAGUGGGAGAGAAAGGCGGUUUAUGGCGCGUGACGCGGAGCAGUUUCGACGACCGCCGUGCUCGAGAGCUUCCGCGCGCGGUUGGCUCGUGCGUCGUAUGACCUGCAUGCGAAAGCCGUGGCCGCAUCGCCACUCGAGAACGGUGCCAUAAUUACCCCGCUCAUUUCGACAAUGGCCAUAGAGAAUGAGGCGUAUGCAGACGUGUGAAGCUUUGUUUCGGCGGUUAUGCAGCGCUGGAUACGAGGCGCUAGCCAAUUUGCUCGUCUUCGUUCUGCGUUUACAUCUUUCCUCCUUCUUUCCGUCAUCUUGUCUUUAUCGCCCUUCUGGUGUUCAAUGCAGUUCGUGUUUAGCGCACGACAUAGGCUCCGCAAAUGUCUUCAUUAGCGCCGCGAUGCCGGAAUAAUUGAGCCUAGAGGACGGCUGUCAAAAAGAAGUUUUGAAAUUUAUGCGAACGACAAUGUGCCCGCGCAGCUGUUCCAGCAGCUGUCGGUAUAGCGAAACGUCGCUCUCUACAACCCGUUUCUCACCAUUUACGACCGACCAUUUUCGUGAUGACUCUAUUUCGGGCGCGUACCUGGCGCAGCUCCUGCAAGUGGCGUUUUAUGCACCUCUGUAGUCCGGGCCGUUUCAAUCGCAGGCGUUAGGGCAAAGACCGCACGGUGUUCGCUGCGCGCGGGCAUGCGGAACGUGGCGUGAGAUUCUGCGAUGCCAUAAAGCGCAUAAUAAAGCACUUCAGUGCCAUGUUUUAGUAGUAAUUUUAUCUCACGACUAAGCUUUCGUAUCCGAACCGGCCUCGCGUGUUGCAGUUAAACUGGCUCAUGCUUCCCUGUGAGUGUGCGCAAGAACGAGCAGAGGUCGCUAGCCAGCCAUGUGUCUCAUUUACAUGACGUAUGCACGGCAAACGUACGUUACGGCAAGCUCAUGCAGUACUAUCGCGUCCCUAGAUUGACGGUCACAUAAUGUGCUGCUAGCGGUUUGGAACAAAAGUACGGAGCGUGAUUUCAAGGUAUACAAUAAUCCACACAAAACUAUCGCCAGCACAGAUUACGAUCGCUGCAGGAUAGUAGUAAUCUUGCGGCAAUUGGCUUAGGAGAAGAGCAAGCCAC